CCUACGGGAGGCAGCAGUAGGGAAUCUUCCGCAAUGGACGAAAGUCUGACGGAGCAACGCCGCGUGAACGAUGAAGGCCUUCGGGUCGUAAAGUUCUGUUGUUAGGGAAGAACAAGUGCUAGUUAAAUAAGCUGGCACCUUGACGGUACCUAACCAGAAAGCCACGGCUAACUACGUGCCAGCAGCCGCGGUAAUACGUAGGUGGCAAGCGUUGUCCGGAAUUAUUGGGCGUAAAGCGCGCGCAGGCGGUUUCUUAAGUCUGAUGCGAAAGCCCCCGGCUCAACCGGGGAGGGUCAUUGGAAACUGGGAAACUUGAGUGCAGAAGAGGAAAGUGGAAUUCCAAGUGUAGCGGUGAAAUGCGUAGAGAUUUGGAGGAACACCAGUGGCGAAGGCGACUUUCUGGUCUGUAACUGACGCUGAGGCGCGAAAGCGUGGGGAGCAAACAGGAUUAGAUACCCUGGUAGUCCACGCUGUAAACGAUGAGUGCUAAGUGUUAGAGGGUUUCCGCCCUUUAGUGCUGAAGUUAACGCAUUAAGCACUCCGCCUGGGGAUACGGUCGCAAGACUGAAACUCAAAAGGAAUUGACGG
rnacentral:rRNA from 1 species